rnacentral:lncRNA from 1 species
AGCAUGAACUCAAGCGGGGGUGAGAUGUUUGUUGUGAUAUAAUUGUGAUAUGACGCAUUUCAUGAAUGCAUGAAUAAGAAGAAUAAUUGAAUUGAAUAAAAUGUCUUUAUAAUAAAAUACAUAAAAAGGGUGGAACAAUAAAAGGCAUAAUAAUAUACCUAAAAAUGGAGGAACUAAAUCAAAUAUUUUUCUAUGUUUCUACUCACUGGGCUCUUGUAGCUCACCCCAUUCCCUUAACCCCAGUUUUGCAGGGCCAGAGUAUGUCAAGCCAGAGUAAGUCAGAAGAACUAUAGGAUAGAAGAGGUUCAAGCAUGGGUUGCCAUGUUUGGUUGUAAUAGCUUAGCUUGUUUUGUUUAUGUUUAUGUAUAAGAGAUGCCUGUAUGUAUAUGUUUAUGGAUAUAGUGAACGUUAUGUAAGAAAGUUGCUAAAGAGAUGAUAAAUUAUGUAAUGCUAUGUAUGUUUGUUGCUUGCAUAGUUUAGUGGUGGACAUGAGCAUGAAAAUAUAUGGACAUGAUAGAUGGACUUGAUGUAUGGUCCUUAUGUAUAUAAAGAAUAUGAUGAAUGGAAAGAGUAAAGAGUAAUGUUAUAAAGAGAUAGAGCCAAGUUAAGAAAAGUAUGGAUAUGCCAUGUGACGUAGCAUGGGAUGUAUAGAAUUGUGCUUUGCCUAGAGUGUUGGUAAAUCCCUUUUUGUUAUGCAUGAUCUUGAGAAAAUGUUUCAAAUGUUAUGAGUUUUGAACGGCCCGUGAGGGAAGAAAGGGUUCCAAUCCCUUGACCCAAAGCGGAUAUGUUUUAAAGCAAGCUUGAUGACCCAUCUGGUAUGAGGUUCUAUGUCUGCAUGCAUAGGUCAAGCUGAGGUAAGGAAAACAAGUUUAAAGGCUUUUAUGAGACCAAAGCUUAAGUUUUCAAGCAAAGUUUGAUCAUGCACGGGAUUAUACCUAGAGUUCAAGAUGUAUAGAGGCUUACUACGGGUCCCGGCGGCCUUAAGCCGAUCUGGAUCCUAGUACCGAGCAGUUUGGGGCCGUUACAAGAGGGGUACCGGUUUCCGG